UCCCGAAAGCUUUGUGAUUAAUUCAAAUGUGGGAGGUUUAUGUUGAAUAAUGGUCUUGGAUGUUUGGAUGGGAAUGAAAUGUUAUUUCGAAGAAGAGGAUAUCUGGUUUUUGGUAGAGUGGUUGAAGACUAGGGGAUGAUUUAGAUAUGAGGGUUAGAGGUGAUGUUUGAUUUUUAUUGGGGAUGAGCUCAUAAAAAGGUGUUUUGUGAUGGUGGUGUGUUCAGUUGGGUAAGGCUUGAGAGUAGCUGAGGUGUAGUAACUAAGGUUUUAUUGAGGAAGUGGGGUGGAAGCAUGAUGGUUUACUGGGGAGAAAUUGGCGCUGGGAAAAUUUUGGCAUAAUGAUGGAAUGAGUAAAAGAAGAAAAGAAUUUUUUGUGGUUGAGGAGGAGGAAAAAUGUUGGGACGUGAAGUGUGAAGUUUGGAAGAGGAAUUAGGCAAAAAAUGUAGGGCUUUCGCCUGUUUAGCAAAAACAUGGUUUUUUGGGUUGAUGGAAAAUCUGGUUCUGCCCGAUGUUAGGGAUGAAUGGCCGCAGUAUAUUGACUGUGCUAAGGUAGCAUAAUAAUUAGUUUUUUAAUUGGGGACUGGUAUGAAGGAUUGGACGAGAGGUAAGCUGUCUUUUUUGGAUGUGUUGAAUUUUGUGUUUGUGUGAGGAGACAUAAAUGGUGCUAAGGGACGAGAAGACCCUGUUAAGUUUGAUGUUUGUUAGUUGGGGGCUUGUGUGGUAGGGGGUUUGUGAUUGAGGAGUAUUUUACUGGGGCGGUAACGAAAGAAGAGGAUCUUUUGGGUGAAGGAUGAUAAGGACGGUUGGGGAUCCAUGAUUAGGAUUGAUGAUAAGGGGAUUAAAUUACUAUAGGGAUAACAGCGUGAAAUUCCUGGAGAGAUCAGAUUGAUGGGAAGUUUUGCGACCUCGAUGUUGAAUUAAGGGGUCUAUUUGGAGUAGAAGCUAAAUAAGAGGGUCUGUUCGACCUUUGAAUCCUUACAUGAUUUGAGUUCAGAUCGGCGUGAGCCAGGUCGGUUUCUAUCUUUAGUGGGAGUUUUGUGCCUUAGUACGAAAGGACCAGGUGUGGAUUUUGGAAGGUUUUU
rnacentral:rRNA from 1 species